CCUACGGGCGGCAGCAGUAGGGAAUUUUCCACAAUGGGCGAAAGCCUGAUGGAGCAACGCCGCGUGGGUGAAGAAGGUCUUCGGAUCGUAAAACUCUGUUGUUAGAGAAGAAAAUGCGUGAGAGUAACUGUUCACGUUUCGACGGUAUCUAACCAGAAAGCCACGGCUAACUACGUGCCAGCAGCCGCGGUAAUACGUAGGUGGCAAGCGUUAUCCGGAUUUAUUGGGCGUAAGGGGCGCGCAGGCGGUUUUUUAAGUCUGAUGUGAAAGCCCUCGGCUUAACCGGGGUAGUGCAUUGGAAACUGGGAGACUUGAGAGCAGAAGAGGAAAGUGGAAUUCCAUGUGUAGCGGUGAAAUGCGUAGAUAUAUGGAAGAACACCAGUGGCGAAGGCGGCUCUCUGGUCUGUAACUGACGCUGAGGUUCGAAAGCGUGGGUAGCAAACAGGAUUAGAUACCCCAGUAGUC
rnacentral:rRNA from 1 species